AGGACGAACGCUGGCGGCGUGCUUAACACAUGCAAGUCGAACGGAAAGGCCCUUUCGGGGGUGCUCGAGUGGCGAACGGGUGAGUAACACGUGGGUGAUCUGCCCUGCACUUUGGGAUAAGCCUGGGAAACUGGGUCUAAUACCGAAUACACCUUGCUGGCUGCAUGGCUGGUGGGGGAAAGCUUUUGCGGUGUGGGAUGGGCCCGCGGCCUAUCAGCUUGUUGGUGGGGUGAUGGCCUACCAAGGCGACGACGGGUAGCCGGCCUGAGAGGGUGUCCGGCCACACUGGGACUGAGAUACGGCCCAGACUCCUACGGGAGGCAGCAGUGGGGAAUAUUGCACAAUGGGCGCAAGCCUGAUGCAGCGACGCCGCGUGAGGGAUGACGGCCUUCGGGUUGUAACCUCUUUCAGUAUCGACGAAGCGCAAGUGACGGUAGGUACAGAAGAAGCACCGGCCAACUACGUGCCAGCAGCCGCGGU
rnacentral:rRNA from 1 species